GAUGAAGAACGCAGCGAAAUGCGAUACGUAAUGUGAAUUGCAGAAUUCAGUGAAUCAUCGAAUCUUUGAACGCAUAUUGCGCUCUCUGGUAUUCCGGAGAGCAUGCUUGUUUGAGUAUCAGUAAACACCUCAACUCCCCUUUCUUUUUUUGAAAUGGGAGCUGGACUUGAGUGAUCCCAACGCUUUUCUCACCGAAAAGUGGCGGGUUACUUGAAAUGCAGGUGCAGCUGGACUUUUCUCUGAGCUAAAAGCAUAUCUAUUUAGUCUGCCUAAAAAACAGAUUAUUACCUUUGCUGCAGCUAACAUAAAGGAGAUUAGUUCUUGUGCUGACUGAUGCAGGAUUCACAGAGACAGCUUCGGCUGGCCUUUGUAAACUCGAUCUCAAAUCAAGUAAGACUACCCGCUGAACUUAAGCAUAUCAUAAGCGGAGGA
rnacentral:misc_RNA from 1 species